rnacentral:sRNA from 1 species
GACAAUGGUAUAAGAGUGGUUGUGCUUCCCUGCUAGAACCUCCAAACAAGCUCUCAAGGUAGUGGGAGGGUAAGUCUAGA